UGACUCUGGUUUCUCUUCAGAUCGUAUAAAUCUUUCCACUUUCACUAAAGAUUGCCAUGGAGAGGAACAGUGUUGAGUCUUAACUCAAUUUUUUGAGAUCUCAUAAAAAGCAAUA